rnacentral:rRNA from 1 species
UACGGAGGAUCCGAGCGUUAUCCGGAUUUAUUGGGUUUAAAGGGAGCGUAGGUGGAUUGUUGAGUCAGUUGUGAAAGUUUGCGGCUCAACCGUAAAAUUGCAGUUGAAACUGGCAGUCUUGAGUACAGUAGAGGUGGGCGGAAUUCGUGGUGUAGCGGUGAAAUGCUUAGAUAUCACGAAGAACUCCGAUUGCGAAGGCAGCUCACUGGACUGCAACUGACACUGAGGCUCGAAAGUGUGGGUAUCAAACAGG